rnacentral:rRNA from 1 species
UAGUGUUAUUCGUGAUGACUGGGCGUAGGGUACGUAGGCGGAUAGUCAAAAAUAUAGUAAAAGACUGAGGUUGACCCUCUUUAAGCUAUAUUCACUAGCUAUCUUGAGUUUUAGAGGCGAUAAUGAAUCCUUUAAGUAAGGGUUAAAUUGUUGAUAUUAGGAGACAUUCGUAGGCGAAAGCAAUGAUCGAUUUAAAUCUGACGCUAGGUAUUAAAGCAUGGGUAUGAAAAGGAUUAGAGACCUUGUAGUCCAUGCUGUAAACUAUGAGUGUUCAACGUCCUUUUAUAGUUUGUUACUCUUUAUUCUGUGAUCAGUUACAAAUAAUACCACGACGUAACAUAUAUAUAAAAGGGGGUUUGGAGCUAACGCGUGAAACACCGCCUGGGGAAUGUGGCCGCAAGGUUAAACUCAAAGGAAUUGACGGAGACUUAUACAAGGGGUGGAGAUGUGGUUUAAUUCGAG